rnacentral:lncRNA from 1 species
UAGCAAAACAGAUAUGGGGGAUUGCGGGCCGUACCCGUGCGGGUGAGGAUUCGGGAUCCAUCUCCCCACGCCCGGCCCGGCGGCGCCCACCAAACGCCGCCCUUCUAAACCAGGUCUGCCCCGCCGCGCCUACCUUGCGCCGGGCAGAAACUACCCCCCCGGACACGUCCUCUGGCAAACCAGACAAGUCAAACCAUAAUAGCGUCGCCACCAGUGCCCCCACUGUCGGCCUUCAACAUAACACUGUGGUCAGGAAAACGAGGGGUGGGUGGGCGGGAAACACAAAACUAGCGUGCCGUGCACUAACGAGCCUCUCACUGCCUACUGACACGAUUCUACACCAAACAGGACUUAACAAAUAGCCUACCGAGGCUACAUGCUUACUACCUUCAGCCCUUGCCUAGCGAUGGGGUUCGACACGCCUUGACCCCAGGCCUUCGUCCGCACUUGUCCCCUUCCCCCGCCUCUCACAACCGUGGGCGUCCCUCCUUCCUUAGUCCCGCUUCAAAACUUAUUUUACGCUACGUGCGGGCAAAGCCUUUCUCCGCCUAAAACAGCCCUUUGAGCUGAUGGGCUGCGGAGAGUCGGAGCCCAUGUAACACACCCACACAAUUACACCGCAUCGUCUUGCACUCGGUACUGUCUCUCUCAGCAAUGUUACCGCCUUCGGCGUCCGUUCGCAAACCUACUCAUGCUAUGUCCAGGGAGUAGCAAAACAGAUAUGGGGGAUUGCGGGCCGUACCCGUGCGGGUGAGGAUUCGGGAUCCAUCUCCCCACGCCCGGCCCGGCGGCGCCCACCAAACGCCGCCCUUCUAAACCAGGUCUGCCCCGCCGCGCCUACCUUGCGCCGGGCAGAAACUACCCCCCACACCGGUUCCCCACUCUGCUCACAUUCUCGCCACUAGCCGCCGCUGCUCCACGGUUGACUUGCGGAUGUACACGCGCACGGCGUCCGAUUUCCACCGG